UGCAUGAGUAACUUUUGCCAGCAACCAAAGA
rnacentral:piRNA from 1 species